rnacentral:misc_RNA from 1 species
CGCGGGGACCGGUGGGCGGCUCGAGUUUAUUCUUCAUUUUCUGGAUGCUCUUUCUCUCUCUUCUCUCUUUCGCCAGGAGCUUGCGCAAUCAAUAUAUGAUAUGAAAAUAUCCCUAAUAAAAAUUAAUAAAAAGCUGGGCAAUCGAUCCUCGAAAUUGUGAGAGAAAAAUUCAUCCAGUAAUUGGGGGCUGGAUUGGAUUGGAUUUGAUUUGAUUGAAAAUGGCGAAUACAGAUCUGUUCGAUGCAUAUUUCAAGAGAGCAGAUUUGGACUGCGACGGUCAGAUCAGUGGAGCUGAAGCCGUUGCUUUCUUUCAAGGUUCUGGUUUGCCCAAACAAGUCCUCGCUCAGGUGUGGAUGCAUGCUGAUCAGAGAAAAGCUGGUUUCCUUGGUCGUCAAGAGUUCUAUAAUGCUCUUAAGCUUGUUACUGUGGCACAAAGUAAGCGGGAGCUGACUCCAGAUAUAGUGAAGGCAGCAUUAUAUGGUCCUGCUUCAGCGAAAAUUCCUGCUCCUCAGAUAAACCUUGCAGCCACACCUGCUCCUAAAGCAGUAACACCUGCUCCUCAAAUGGCUGGUACCACGUCAGUGGCACCUCAAAACUUUGGUAUCAGACCACCACAGAUGCCUGGAAAUGCAAGCACAAACCAGCAAUAUUUCUCAUCUCAGCAAAGUCAAUUUGUGAGGCCAUCCCAAGCUAUGCCUUCCAACUCUGUGUCUCAUCCACAACUAGUUCCUGCAAGCCAAGCUGUGCCUAGGGGUAGUACCAUGGCUGUUCCUCGCCCUUCAAAUUCAAAUGUCUCAACUGAUUGGGCUGGUGGUGGUCUAGGUGUCCCAACUACCCAAAAUCAAAGUAGGGAGAUUAGUCCUCCUCCAACUCAGGAUGGAUUUGGGCUAACAGCAUCAGGUUUGAUGCCCUCUGUCCAACCUAGACCACAGUUGACAACUGGACAGACGCCUUCUAGUAUUCCAAAACCUCAAGAGGCUGCUGUGGCCUCCAACCAAUCAGCAACUAAGGAUUCUAAAGUUUCAGGGAAUGGCUUCGCCUCUGAAUCACUUUUUGGAGAUGUAUUUGCUGCAAUUCCUGCUCAGCCAGCACAAAGUUCCUCCUCAGCUGCAUCAUCUACGAGUACCUUACCUGUAUCAGUGGGAAUUGUUCCAUCUUCUGCUGGGUCCCAACCUUCAAUCAAGCCAAACACUCUUGAAACUUUGCAGAGUACAUUUUCUCAGCAACCUGUUGGUGGGCAUUCAGCAGGAAGGCAGAACCAGGUUGUUGCAGCUCAAAGUUCUGCUGUUACUUCAUCUGGACUUCCUGUUGGAGCUGCGAAUUCAGAUUCCAGUCAAUCCCAGCCUCCAUGGCCAAAGAUGACUCAGUCUGGUAUUCAGAAGUAUAUGAAAGUAUUUGUGCAGGUAGACACAGAUAGAGAUGGAAAAAUAACCGGUGAACAGGCACGCAACCUCUUCUUAAGUUGGAGGCUGCCAAGAGGUAGACUACAAGACAUUCCUUUUUUCCUUUUCAUUCAAGUUCAACUGUGUAGCAUCAGAUGAGUUCAGUGAUGGUAAGAUGUUGUCUUAAGACAGAUAAUAGAAGCAAUAUGACAACCUUUAUGAGAAUAGUCGUGUAAUUUUGCUUUUUGCACCUAUUUGUAAGAUUUACUAUUCCCCCGAUAGAACUUGGGUACCCUAUUACCAUAUUGAAAAUGUACAUUAUUUGGUCUGAAUUAAGAACUUCAGCUGGAGAAUAUAUUAAGGCCAAACUUGCUUCUGUAACAGGUAGAUUGGCAAAAAGAAUGGUUUGCAAGGAGAGACUAACUUCAGUUUUACUAUUUCCUGGGAUUAAUUAUGAUAGUUGAUGGCGAUGCCAGCACAUCUAAAAUCAAUUACCUGGCACAGUAUGAAGUAGUCAUCGAGUUUACUUUUCUUGUAAUUCUUUCUCUUAAUCAUAUGAAUUUUCUAAUCAUGCAGGUUGAAGCUUGAUAUGACAGCUUUUUAUUUAAGAUUUCUUUAGUGGAAACUAUUGCAUUCUCAUAUUACAUGACAGCCACAUAAUAUUGUCCUUGGUGUUUCAGAGGUCUUAAAACAGGUUUGGGAUUUAUCUGAUCAAGAUAACGACAGUAUGCUUUCUUUAAGGGAGUUCUGUACUGCUCUCUAUUUGAUGGAACGUUACAGAGAAGGCUGUCCUCUUCCUACUACACUCCCAAGCUCUGUAAUGUCUGAUGAGAUUUUGUUGUCUGCUACAAGCCACCUUACAGCUUCGCAUGGCAGUGGAACUUGGGGACCUGCUUCUGGUCCUCGACCACCACAAGUUAUGAUGGGUCCACGGCCAGCACCUGCUGCUGCAGCAAGGCCACCAAGACCCCCUGUUCAUCAUGCUGAUGAAAAACAGCCCCCUCAGCAAAAGCGCAAAGUUCCUGUUCUGGAAAAGCAUCUUGUUGAUCAGCUGAGCCAGGAGGAGCAGGAUUCUCUGAACUCAAAGUUCCAAGAGGCAGCGCAGGCUGAUAAAAAGGCACUUUUCAAUAAUUUUGUGCACUUGAUAUGCACAAGCUUUAUUUUGUAUAAUUCUUUUGGUGCUGUUUUCUAUAUAUUUUUCAGUUGAGGGAUUUUGAUUGUUAAUCCUUUAAAGUUUCCUUUUUUAACUUGAAUUAAUAGGAACAACGUUAGUAGAUAUUUAUGUGUUGACUUUUCUCCAUCUUUUUUACUGAAGGUUGAAGAAUUGGAAAAGGAAAUAGCAGAUUCUAGACAGAAAAUUGAGUUCUAUCGUGUUAAGAUGCAGGAACUU